rnacentral:rRNA from 1 species
UACGUAGGUGGCAAGCGUUACUCGGAAUUACUAGGCGUAAAGCGCAGGUAGGGUGGUUUGAUAAGUCCGUAAUGAAAUCUCCCGGCUUAACUGGGAGGGGUUUAGGGAUACUGUCAGGCUUGAGUGUGGGAGAGGUAACUGGAAUUCCUGGUGUAGCGGUGAAAUGCGUAGAGAUCAGGAGGAACACCUAUGGCGAAAGCAGGUUACUGGCCCAAUACUGACGCUGAGCUGCGAAAGCUAGGGGAGCAAACAGG